UACGGGGGGGGCAAGCGUUGUUCGGAAUUACUGGGCGUGAAGGGCGCGUAGGCGGCCAGACAAAGUCGAGCGUUAAAUUCCAGGGCUUAACCCUGGGCUGUUGCUCGAUACUAGUCGGCUAGAGUGUGGAAGAGGGUGCUGGAAUUCCCGGUGUAGCGGUGAAAUGCGUAGAUAUCUGGAGGAAUACCGGUGGCGAAGGCGGCAUCCUGGACCGAGAUUGACGCUGAACGACGAAAGCUAGGGGAGCAAACGGG
rnacentral:rRNA from 1 species